CAAUGUACACAUCACGACUCAUCCUAGCAUCUCUUGGCUGCCUGAAGUUUAAACUGUGUUCUGUUGACUUGCUGGGGUCAGGAGAAUAAGAGUUAAAGAAAGGGAAAGGCAGUGCCAUGCCUUCGCCCAUUCCAGACGGAGCUGAAGAGAAAAGAGAUGAAAUAAAGCAAAAGAAACAAGAGGGACUAAAACAAGCUUCUACGGCCCUCUCUAAGAAUUUCACUGGAGGUCUAAUUUUAAAGAAGGAUGCGUGAAGAUUGAGGAAAGGGGAAUGAACACUUUCAACCAUCUUGUCAUGAGAAAUUUGUCAGCGCUGGAAACACACUAUUUUGGUGCUGUUUCCAGUUUUCCCUGCUUUUCCUCACGAAGAAUAAUAAUUCUGUUCUGUCCUCUCCC